GCAAGGGACUACUCGUGUUUACUUAAGCCCAGUGACUCAACUUAUUCUCCUGCUUCCCCAAAGUAGUGAUACAAAAGACUGAUUAGUAUUAAAUAGUGGUAUAAAAGCAUUUAUACCAGGCGGGGAGUGUAAUGGUUCAGUUCAGUUGUAAAGAAAGGUGAUUUUGGUUAUAUGUUGACCUUUAAGCGCCCUCUUGUGGCGAGGAUUGUGUAUGGUAACUUUCGUAUAACCCGUGUUGAGUUCAUUGUGAAGUGUCACGGCUGAAGAGCGGCUCGUACGGUGAAGUCGUGACCCGCAUAAGGCUUUUUACGAUGUUAAAGUUAAAUGAGAAAAGAUUCAUGAAAGCUACUGUAAGAUUUAAAGCUACGGACCAACAUCUCGCCUAUUCACUGUCUGUCUAGCUGGAUAGAGAAGUUACACGUCUAGUGAGGACAGAACGCAGCCUCUAAAACCUGAUGGAAGGCUUCCAUCUUGGCUUGGAUACACCUAAUCUGAAGUUGGAGCAUUGCCUUGGAUCAGACAUCUUCAAACUGCAAACCAAUGCAGGCGAUCUGCCAAAGCCCUGGACAAGUUGUUACAUUAUGCAAUCUUUAGGCUCUGGAUCCUUUGAGAUGUACACAGCUGCUUGUGGGACGUCCAAAAUAAUAGCCAAUCCACACGGCGGAGUGGCUCUAAAUGAAGACUUGUGGCUAUCCGGCCGGACGUGGAGGUAAUCUAGCAAAUGGAUUGGAAAAUCAGAUUCACAAUCACAAGAGACUCAUCUUUCCCAUGGCUUCUGGCCAGAGUGAGCGGAGGAAGUGCUGGCUAUGUCAUCUCGCCACCACUGGAGCCCAUAAAUUGGAUGCAUAUAAAAACAUAUCGGCCAGGGCAGGGUAUGAUCUUGAUGGGGUGGGCGUGCAGCAGGGAAAAUGAAGAGUUAAUCCCCCGCGAGGCAGCGGUAACGAAGACAAAUAAUUCUCCUUUAGGGGCCGCAGGAGGAGACAGAUCGCCCCUUGGAGGGCUUCCGAACUUGACAGGAGCUUUUCCCAUCAUCUGUGUAAUCAAGCACUAGCGAUUAAAUCACUUUCACAUCUCACCCUCCCAGAGACGUGUCUGCUGUGCAUGUGUGGGCGGCCACACGUGUGUCCGUGAGUGUGAGUUACUGUACAGUGUGGGUAACUCUGAGUCGCAGUGGCAAGAUUUGCUUGAAGUUUAUUAUAUAAGCCUUCUGCAUUCCUUUAUUUGUUUCCAUCCGCACACAACGUUUAACAUACGUUUAACAUGUGAGGCCUUGACAAACUUGUUGCGUUUCCAGCAAGUUUAUUCUACCAAAGCACUGAAACCAAUUGACAUUCCCAUGGGGUUUACAGAGAGGCACUUAGUGUGCAUGACAAUAACUUUUAUAGCUCACGGUGUUUGCUUCAGUUUUGAGCUUUGAUGUUUUAAAUUCCUUUCACAUAACACAUUGCAAUUAUAUGGGGGGCAUUAAAGCAGCUUAGUAGAUCAAAUAUGGAAAUUUCACAAUUCAAGUUCAUGAUUUAUUAUGAGAUAAUAUAACAAGUGAUUAUAAAGAUUUUCUGUUUUAUGCUGAUUUUAAAAUAUUCAUGCUUAAAGUCAAUAGUUUUACUUCAUAUUCCUGGCCUGCAUCACUUUCAAACUUCCAUCAAAAACUUGCUGCGCAAAGGAAACACUUCUUUCCUAAUCUGUCUUUAUAGAGUGCAACAGUCAGGUUCUAGAAGCAAAAUAUUUAAUUCAUUUUCUCCAUAUAGGUCAACUGAACUUGAAAUUAUAAAUUGUUAAAGACUAAUUGAUGGUAAAUAUUUUUGUUGAAACCAUCAGCCCACAUUAUUUCAACUUUUUUUUACUAGUCAUCUUUAACAGCAGAAUUCCCAGUGAAAAACUACAUUACCCAUAAUUCUGCAAAA